UGCAGAAAUCGACAGCGGCAGCAUCGAAAAGGUGGAUUUUAAGGUCACAUAGUGGAGUGUGAUCGCAAAGCAGAGCUGGCAGAAGCCUCAGUCCACUCACCUGUUCAACAAAGCUCUACGUCACCAGGCCUGGCGCCAGGUAAACAAUUACUGCAGUUAAAUGACACCUGCCAUGGAUUCCCCCUCAGCUUGCUCAUGUGAAAGCAGCAUUGACCUGGCCUAAGGUGGGAUUGGCUCAAGCCACCAGUGACCUUGAAUUUGAUAAGCAGCUUCACCCUCAACUGGUUGCAGCAGACGGCUGCCCCUCUCUGAGCCUGAUUCUGCCGGAGGUUUCUUCCUGUUAAACGGGGGUUUUCCUUCCCACUGUUCCCAAGUGCUUGCUCUAAGAGGGCGAUCCGGAUCUUCACUUUGUUCAUGGUGUUGGGCUGCCACCCUGUCGAUCCGGGUCCACCCAGUCCCAGACGUGGACGGAGCCAUCCGAGGCUGCAGACAGCAGUGUCCGCGGCCGCUCGGGAUGCCA